rnacentral:tRNA from 2 species
GCCCGCUUGGCGGAAUCGGUAGACGCAGCAGACUUAAAAUCUGUUUUCCUCCGGGAAGUGCCGGUUCGAGUCCGGCAGCGGGCA